rnacentral:rRNA from 1 species
AGGAGAGUUUGAUCCUGGCUCAGGAUGAACGCUAGCGGCAGGCCUAACACAUGCAAGUCGAGGGGCAGCGGGAGGUAGCAAUACCUUGCCGGCGACCGGCGCACGGGUGCGUAACGCGUAUGCAACCUACCUUUAAGAGGGGGAUAACGGAGGGAAACUUCCACUAAUACCCCGUAUAGUCGGAGAGCCGCAUGACUUUCCGACGAAAGCUACGGUGCUUAAAGAUGGGCAUGCGUGACAUUAGCUAGUUGGCGGGGCAACGGCCCACCAAGGCUGCGAUGUCUAGGGGAGCUGAGAGGCUAAUCCCCCACACUGGUACUGAGACACGGACCAGACUCCUACGGGAGGCAGCAGUGAGGAAUAUUGGUCAAUGGAGGGAACUCUGAACCAGCCAUGCCGCGUGAGGGAAGACGGCCCUAUGGGUUGUAAACCUCUUUUGCACGGGAGUAAUAAGGGCGGUGCGCCGCCUGAUGAGAGUACCGUGCGAAUAAGCAUCGGCUAACUCCGUGCCAGCAGCCGCGGUAAUACGGAGGAUGCAAGCGUUAUCCGGAUUUAUUGGGUUUAAAGGGUGCGUAGGCGGACCCUUAAGUCAGCGGUGAAAUAUCCCGGCUCAACCGGGAGGCUGCCGUUGAUACUGGGGGUCUCGAGGGCGAACGGCGCCGGCGGAAUGUGUCAUGUAGCGGUGAAAUGCAUAGAUAUGACACAGAACACCGAUCGCGAAGGCAGCUGGCGAGGACGCGACUGACGCUGAGGCACGAAGGUGCGGGGAUCAAACAGGAUUAGAUACCCUGGUAGUCCCCU